CAAGCGACCUUCAAGGGGCUCUUUAAGGACAAAAGUCAGUAGCCGUACGGUCCCCUUUCUCUCAGUGUAUGUGUCGCGGAAUGUCCUAUCUUCCCUCCCCAUGAAGAGGAAUGUAAGAAAAGACUGGACUAGUUCACAAUCAGACAGGAAGCUGCCAACUUGUCAGUCUGAAGAUGAAGGUUAAAGCACCGGAAAUGCAGCUCAGUAUCUUUCUGCAGGAGGAAACAGGAGCCUCUCUCAUUUGUUGCAAGGUGUCAUGACAGAGCCUGGAGCCCUGUGGUGCUGCGAGAGGCUCCCCAUUUCUAGCUCUCACUGUCGUGGAGACCCCGGUGUGACCCCAAAGAUGGAAGGCGAAGGAACAGGGCCACCUGACUACUGGAACCCCAUGACGGAGCGUGGCGGGGGUGGGGCUGGCACCUGAUCGUUGAAUGUUUGGGGUUGGCCUGGGGUACGACACACUGAACUGGGGAGUUUUGCCCCUGGGCAGGAGUUCACCCCAAGACUGAGGGAACAAACCCCUGUGGUGAACGAGCAGCAGCAGUCCCUAUGGCAGAGCUGCCUCUGUGCCCAGCCUCCACACGUGUCACUCGGAGGGGCUGGAAGAGCCCUGUUCUGCCACCCGGGAUACAAGCAAUGCCCACGGGAAGGGAGAGCAGGGCACCUUUGGGGAAUGCCCAAGGCAAGUCCCCAGCUCUCCCCACCCCAGGCAGCCAGCGGAUUCCCAGCCACAGACGUUGGCACCAGGGACGGGACACAGCAGAGGGCUCUGCCCAGGCUGGCAGGUCAGGGUGGGGUCACAGGUGGGGUUGAUGGGAGGUCACCUAGGGUGGGGCUGGGAGGAAUUGGGCACAGACCCAGUGCCCAUGGUUACAUGGUGCCAUGGGGUUCACCUGCCAACUGUCCUCAGGGACCUUCCUCUGCAUGAUGGGGCAGGGCCCUGCAGGACGCAUGUCAGACUCUGCCAUGCGACGCCCAAGACAAAAACAGCAGGAAAGACCUGAGGUGCCUCAGCAGAGCCGGGGGCCCAGGCCUGGGCAAGUGAGGCCUACUGUGGGUCAGGCCGAGCUAGGUAGGUGACCAGGGCCGGGUGUCUGGGGGGCUGUGGGUCGGGAUUGAGGGGCACCGGCAGAGCUGUGUGUGAAGGGAGCCCUGGGCUGGAAGAGCAGGGGGCUUGUGGGUCAGGAUCGAGGGGCGUGGCAUAGCUGUUGGGGGGAUCCCAGUGGCAGAAUAGCAGAGCUGAUGGUCGGGGGGAGCUCAGGGCUUGGAUAGCUGGGAGGCUGCGGGUUGGAGCAUGGAUGGGGGGCGGGGAGAAGAUUGCCCACAUUGUACCUGUUGCUGGCCAGCACUGUUGCACCCUCCCUGUUCCCUGUUCAUAGCUCCCGUUACCCAGAGAAGCCCCCCAGCUCAGGGGCCCUGGCCGGGGAGCGGAAGAGGUCAGUCCUGGGGCUGUACAAAGUGCCUGUGUAUUCAAUAGGUCACCUUGUUUGCACUCCAGGAGAGCAGCCCGUGUCUGCGUCCCAGCCAAGGCGCUGCUGGCAGGGCUGUGUGCAUGUGAUGGAUGUCACGCUGGUGCCCUGCAAAGGAGCAGGAAUCGCGACUGGGCCAAGGCAGAGCUGUGGGCACAGAGGCCCCGUGUUCUCGCUGGGAACAAAAGAACUGGCAGCUCGCUCCGGUCUGGCAGCCCUGACGGGAGAUACGGGGACAAUUCACAGCAGAGCUUGAAUGGGAAGGAGAAAUCAGGACAGGCUUUAUAGGCGGCUUCCCUGCAGCACAGAGGAAGGGAGAGGGAGGCAAACCUGGUGCACAGGCCAAGGUGCUGCUGCGGCAGGGGGCUCUGUACCCACCCCACUCCCAGCUUUGGGGUAUGGGUGCCAGAGACACUGGAGUCAUGAAAAGCAGCCGCGGAGUCUCAGGCUCGUCCCAAAAUACAGUGGCCACUUUUGAAAGUUUGCCUGUAAGUGAUUUUACCCAGGGGGGCUCCAGCAGUGCUGGGCAGAGAACCCAGGCGUCCUGACUCCCGGGUCCCUGCUCGAAUUGCUAGAGCCCACACACCCCCGCAAGGGCCAGGCCUUUCACUAGGUCUUGGGGCUCCCAGUAUUAGCCGACAUGUUUUGUGUAGCUCCAUGUGCAAUAGUUUGAUGCAAAUUACUUAAUGAGCUAAUCUGCAUAUUUGUAAAGACUGUCUAUAUAACCAUAAGCCUGAGCAGGAGUGAUUGUGUUGCUGAUAAAAGGUCUUGGUCUAUAUGGCCCCUGGGGAAGGGCUCCCCUGCCAGGAAUGGCCGUGGCUUCCCCCUCAGAGCCAGGUGGGGGCCACAAGGAACCCAGGGCCACAGUAGUGAGGAGAAAUGGCCGAGUGCAGGGCUAGAGAGUGACGCCAGGGAGCCAGCUGUGGGCACCAAGCAGUGGACCUCAGACCGUCCCACCAAGGUGGUUAUUGACCCAGCCUAUGCUCAGCGCUUCUGAGCUGGCCUCUGCGCCAUGGCCCCAUCUGUGAUUACAUGAUCACACAGUAGGCAUCAAAGAGCCUCUAGGGCAGGCAGAGACCCCACGAGGUGUCUUGGAGUCAGGAGUAUAAAGGUGUCUGUGAAUCCAGUGCAGGUAGGAAGCAAAGUACAAGUGAACAAGAGCAGGGGUGGGAAAAGCUCAGAGGAAAGUUCUGUGAAAUCAGCAGGGGAAGGAGGCGGAACAAACCCAGGCCCUCGGCAGAAAGAAGAACUAUAAAUGUCUAGCUAUAAAUGCAAGAUGCAUUUCCCAGGGAAACUCCCCCUUCUCAAAGUCCCCCCUCCUUGGGACCAUUUCGCUCCACGACUGUUUGCUACAGGGCCGAAGUGGGAAGUCCAUUUGCCUCUGACUGGUUUCGCUGUCGCCCAGCCAAGCAGCUCACAGGCAGACCCAGAUGGGUGACAAAUUUUAGCAUGACCAUUUUUCCAUCUAAAAAUGCUGUUUUGCUAUAGAAACAUUUCUUGGGAACAUGUUAACGUCAAUUUUUUUCAAUGGGAAAAAUCAUGGUGUUUUGAUUAAUUUCAUUUUUCCUUUUAUAUUGCAUUGGAAGUUUAAUUUUAAUAUUCUAUGUAAUAGUAUGUACAUAUUUGAUCUAUUAUAGCCAUAGGUCAUGUUCAAAGUCAAAAUACAAUGAAGCUAUUGA